UACGUAGGAUGCAAGCGUUGUCCGGAAUUAUUGGGCGUAAAGAGCUCGUAGGUGGCCUGUCGCGUCGGCUGUGAAAACCCGGAGCUCAACUCCGGGCCUGCAGUCGAUGCGGGCAGACUGGAGUUCGGCAGGGGAGACUGGAAUUCCUGGUGUAGCGGUGAAAUGCGCAGAUAUCAGGAGGAACACCGGUGGCGAAGGCGGGUCUCUGGGCCGAUACUGACGCUGAGGAGCGAAAGCGUGGGGAGCGAACAGG
rnacentral:rRNA from 1 species